GCGUCCGUAGCACAAUGGAUAGUGCAAUCCCCUCCUAAGGGAUAGAUGCUGGUUCGAUUCCAGCCGGACGCACCA
rnacentral:tRNA from 1 species